UGGGCCCCAAAUUAGUAGACGAUAUUGUCAACACCGUCGCUGAAAAGUGCAAUGUUCCUAAAAGGAUUAGGAGCGCCAUUACGACGAAAUGUUCGGACGAAGCAAAGUUAUAUAAAAAUCGUCAAAGGUUCAGAAAAAGCACGAACAACAAAACUGAGAGAACGUUCCGCCAUCUUCUGAGAAGCGGACGAAUCCACCACAGUUGAGAUUAAAGAGACAAAGAUCUAAUAUCAAUUUGUACCAUUUAUUAAUCAAUUAAAAUAUGUAAUUACUUUUAAAUAAAGUAUAAAAUAUACUAA